CAGCCGGUGCGCUCAUGCAAGUGUGCGUUUCACUUUCCCGGUCAUAGUGUGUGAUACCGUUUAAAGUGCUCUCGUGGUUUCUCCAUCAUAGCGUCGCGCGCCGGCUCCAACGGUGUUUUGCUGGCGACGGGCGCGGAGGCGCAGCUUUUGGUGUUUUACAUCUGGGCCUUCUGUUAUUACCUCUGGCACGCGUGUGCAUGUCGGACUGCGUACGGUGAGCAGGGCAGAUUCCAUCAUACCCAUUUUCAUCUUGAAAGGGUCCUCAGGCUCCAAAUGAGCUCUACGGCUAAUCGCACUGAGGACGCGGCGAGUAGUGCACUCGAUGGCGAUGAUGCCACUGCUGCUUUGCUCAGCUCCCCAGCGGUAACCACUGCCACCGCAGAGGUGGCGCAACUGAGGCAGGAACUUCACCAAUGCCAAGAAAAGUUUGCGUCCUGGAAGGCAAAGGCGAAGACGGGUGUGGAGCAAAUGCGUGCUCAAAUCGUCGAUCUCACGUGCAAGCUGGACGAAUCGAACAAGCAGCGCGCGCUCCUGGAGGCGUCCCUUGGCAGGGGAACAGCGCUCCCGGCGCUGUACGUCGCUCAAAGUCAGGAGUUCAUGUACGCUCACGCUAUUGCUGCCGCGUGCUUGCUGGUCGAUACCGUCUUGCUUUCCCACAGCGGUGGCGGGCCAGGGCAAUACAAGGACACAGCAGCGACGAGCCCAGCGAGGAGUCCGACUCUGCAGAGCACAACCACCGAAAGCCUGCAAAAGACAGUGAAGGAUCAGUCGGACCGGCUAAAGGAGGCGCACCACGCACUGAAGCGACUGAGCAAUGAGCUGCAGCAGCGUACCGCAGCCUUGCACCAGCAGGAUGAGAAUCUCGCCGAUCUGAGGCGCCGCCUCGCCGAGUUGGAGGCAUGCAACACAUCGCUCAAGCAGCAGCUUAUGAGCGUGCCGAACGCUCAAGAGUGGAAGCAUGCGCAGGAGGAGCUGGACCAGCAACUCGCGCGGACGCGGCUGGAGUAUGAGAGCCGCGAAAGUCAGCUCGUUCUGCAGCAUAGCACCGAGGUGCAGGCUCUGAAGGCAGUACAUGAGCGGGAAGUGCAAGAGAUGCAACGAGAGCAGCGCGAUGCCGUUGCACAGGCGGUCCAAGAUGCUCUGGCUAACCGCUCACCGACACUCGUGCGUGGCGGCGCCCACCCCGGCAAGACCGACGACGACGACGCCUACCUGGACCUGCUGAACGAUUACAAAGCGAUGGAGAUGCAGUGCGCCGCCGCCACGCAGGAGCGAGACACCAUGGCGGCUGAACAGCAGAUGCUGUUGCGCGAGCUUCAGGAGCUUCUGCAGAGCGCACGAGGGCCGCUUCCAGCCUCCGCCGCAAACGGUACCUCUACCACCGCCGUAACGGCCGCAGACGGGACCCAAGCCACUGCUGGGUGGGACUCGUUUGCCGACACCACCAAUCUCAAAGAGGCUGUGCGCCGGAUCCACGAACAGCGGCUCACAUUCGCCAAGCUUCAAGAGGAACUAAUGCACUCUCGCCGUGAAGUGAUGCAGCUGCGGCGCUGCAAAGCUGGACCGCCAGAGGACGGCCUCAGCGCGCAGCAGCUGCAGUACGUGCGCUCCGUCGUGGUGCAACUCCUCUGCUCGCUGAGCGACAUCCGCGUGGCGCGGCACCUGCUACCCGUGCUGAGCAUGCUACUAAAGUUCACAGAUGACGACCUGCAGGCGAUCACCAAGGCUAUGCUGCAAUGAACAAGCACCCGCGAGGUGGCGGGCAGCCUCUAAUCAGUCAUGCUGGACUACAGCGAAGCGACGCAGCUGAGCAUCGUCCGCUGCCUCUGCACGCCAAGGUUGCUCGUCUGCACGUACUCCCUCUCUCACAGCGAUCGAGUGUGAGCGCAAGAUCGCCUUGAGGGUAGGGCCGCGUUCGUCUCCGUAGCGACAUCGUUUGCCUCCACGUUUCGCUGAUGUGCGGGGAUGCGUGGAUGCAUCUCUUGUGCGGUACGGCACAUGUGUACAUGUGCAUGUAUCGUAUGUGCGGUUGUGCUUUCUUGUUGUUGUUUCGUUCCUUGUUUGGCACGCGUCCGCUUCCUCACU
rnacentral:misc_RNA from 1 species